UGCAGCCUACGGGGGGCAGCAGUGAGGAAUAUUGGUCAAUGGGCGCGAGCCUGAACCAGCAAAGCCGCGUGAGGGAAGACGGUCCUAUGGAUUGUAAACCUCUUUUGUCGGGGAGCAAAAGACGCCACGUGUGGCGUUCCGAGAGUACCCGAAGAAAAAGCAUCGGCUAACUCCGUGCCAGCAGCCGCGGUAAUACGGAGGCUGCGAGCGUUAUCCGGAUUUAUUGGUUUCAAAGG
rnacentral:rRNA from 1 species